GACGAACGCUGGCGGCGUGCCUAAUACAUGCAAGUUGAGCGAUGAAGAUUGGUGCUUGCACCAAUUUGAAGAGCAGCGAACGGGUGAGUAACGCGUGGGGAAUCUGCCUUUGAGCGGGGGGCAACAUUUGGAAACGAAUGCUAAUACCGCAUAACAACUUUAAACAUAAGUUUUAAGUUUGAAAGAUGCAAUUGCAUCACUCAAAGAUGAUCCCGCGUUGUAUUAGCUAGUUGGUGAGGUAAAGGCUCACCAAGGCGAUGAUACAUAGCCGACCUGAGAGGGUGAUCGGCCACAUUGGGACUGAGACACGGCCCAAACUCCUACGGGAGGCAGCAGUAGGGAAUCUUCGGCAAUAGACGAAAGUCUGACCGAGCAACGCCGCGUGAGUGAAGAAGGUUUUCGGAUCGUAAAACUCUGUUGGUAGAGAAGAACGUUGGUGAGAGUGGAAAGCUCAUCAAGUGACGGUAACUACCCAGAAAGGGACGGCUAACUACGUG
rnacentral:rRNA from 1 species